rnacentral:rRNA from 1 species
GACAGAGGGUGCUAGCGUUGUUCGGAAUUACUGGGCGUAAAGGGCGCGUAGGCGGUCCGCUAAGUUCGGCGUGAAAUCCCCUGGCUCAACUGGGGAACUGCGCUGGAUACUGGUGGACUCGAGUACCGGAGAGGAGAGUGGAAUUCCCGGUGUAGCGGUGAAAUGCGUAGAUAUCGGGAGGAACAUCAGUGGCGAAGGCGGCUGCCUGGCCCAAUACUGACACUCAGGUGCGACAGCGUGGGGAGCAAACAGG